GGCUGGUCUGGAACUCCUGACCUCCCGCCUUGGCCUCCCAGAGUGCUAGGAUUACAGGCCUGAGCCAGCAGUUUUUUCUGAAGGGGAAGUUGGAACCUUUAGCAUUUUGAAGGCAUACAGACAGGAGGAAAAGGCGGGGGUGGGGCUUUGCUGUGGCAAAGUGGUUACAUUCUUGUGAGGCCCAGGAAAUCUGCAUUAUAUAUAAAACAAGGAGAUGUUAGGAAGGAAAAAAGGACUUAAGGAAACAUUAAUUAUGUAGAUAUCCCUGGGUAGGUGGAAGAAUGUCUGAUUCCAUCUUGUUUUCCAGUUCUGGAACCUGUAAGAUAAACUUGUAAUUCGUUAUUAGUGUGGACUCAACAGGGUUCAGUGUUAGGUGCUUACAGUAGGCCAGCAAGGAAUUUCCUUACUAAACGCUCUGUGAGGUCAGUUCUUUACAGGUGCCUGAGGCCUUUACCUUCUCUUUUGCACAGAAGCUUGGGGGUGACCCUGAGACUUUGAUUGUCUUUUUACACCGCGCACCCCCGGGCCUGCCGCGGUCUGACAGUUCGGGUGGGGCCAACUGCGGCUCUGAAGACCGCAUCUUCCGGAUUCCGGUUCCCGCCAGCGCGGAGACACGUCCCCACCUGGGCCGGGACAAAUAGGAGACGCGCCCUAACCAAGACUGGGACCAAUCGGAAACGCGCCGCUUUCCUCCUUCCCUCGCGCCCGCGUCGAGCGCGUCCCUAUCUCCCGCCGAGAUCCCUCCCGGACCCGCGAAGGCGCGACCUAUCAGCGCACGAGGGGCCCUCUGGCCGCCUGAGUGCAGGGGCCAACCUUUCCCUCGGGUCUCUCCUCAGCCAGCCAGACGGAGCGUCCGGCAGUGAGGCCGCGCUGCCCGCCGGGGUCCUCCGGCCUCGGGCCGCUCUAGUGGACUCGCAAGGCGCGCGCAGCGAGGGGCCUCCCCCCGCGCAUGGGCCGGAUGGUCUUGCCCGCCGGGGCGCGCGCGGGAGCGUCGAGGGGCGGGGCCAGCGGCCUAUAAAAGCGGUUGGGGGCGGGGUGCACAGAGCUUGUCGGCGCCCGAGCCAGGAGGUGGUCUGCCGGGUCGUCACCGUAGCUGCAGCUCUUGGCGUCUGCUCCGCGCUCCCGCCGCCGCCAUGGCCUGCCGGCCGCGAAGCCCCCCCAGGUGCGGAAGCCGCUGCGACAGUGACGCCAGCCCGCCUUCCCUCGCGAGAUGGAGCCUCGGACGGAAGCGCAGAGCCGACUGGAGGCGCAGGAAGCCGGAGGAUGCAGAGUAUGGCGAGCGCCGGGGCGCCGACCGCAGACCCGAGAGCUUUACCACUCCUGAAGGCCCUAAGCCCCGUUCUAGAUGUUCAGACUGGGCAAGUGCAGUUGAGGAAGAUGAAAUGAGGACCAGAGUUAACAAAGAAAUGGCAAGAUAUAAAAGAAAACUCCUCAUAAAUGAUUUUGGAAGAGAGAGAAAAUCAUCAUCGGGAAGUUCUGAUUCAAAAGAGUCCAUGUCUACAGUGCCGGCUGAUUUUGAGACAGACGAAAGUGUCCUGAUGAGGAGACAGAAGCAGAUCAACUAUGGGAAGAACACAAUCGCCUAUGAUCGCUAUAUUAAAGAAGUCCCAAGACACCUUCGGCAACCUGGCAUCCAUCCCAAGACCCCCAACAAAUUUAAGAAGUAUAGUCGACGGUCGUGGGACCAGCAAAUCAAACUCUGGAAGGUGGCUUUGCAUUUUUGGGAUCCUCCAGCUGAACAAGGAUGUGAUUUGCAAGAAAUACACCCUAUAGACCUCGAAUCCACAGAAAGUGGCUCUGAGCCCCAGACAAGCUCUCAGGAUGACUUCUAUUCUGCUGAGAAACUGAACAGAAGUGGCCAUUUGUUCCCUUUGGAGAUCAGUGACCAGACUCCCCGGAAGGUCUUAGGUGGAGGAUGGCCUGUUGGAAGCCGGGUGGCCGCAGGCCACGAUCUCCCCUUCCUGCCCAGCCUGUCUGGUGCAGCUCACACUCUGGGUCUCCAGUGGCAGCCAGAGUCGCUGGGCCCACACACAGGCCUGGGUGCGGUCAGCGCUGCGGACCUCAGUGAGAGCACAGGGCCUCCUGUGGCUCCGCCCACGAAGCGGCACUGCCGAUCCCUAUCCGAGCCCGAGGAGCUGGCACGCUGCCGGUCCCUGUGGCGCCCCAGCAGCUCCAAGGUCUGGACUCCGGUCUCCAAGAGGCGGUGCAACAGUGGCGGGAGCACCACACUGCAGGGAAUCGUGGGGACCGUCCUGCCGAGGAAUGGCGUGCCACUGGCUGGCCCUACCUUGCCCCUGGCGCCCCGGCCAUCCUCGGCCAGCAGCGGCUUUGUGGACAGCAGCGAGAGCAGCAGCGGCUCAGCCCCACCCUGGCAUUUGAUGGGGCCCUGCCUGCUCCCCUUGAGGCGCCGGCUGUCCCUCUCUCAGGAGCACCUCAUGGGCACAUGCACCCCCCUGCCCUCAGCCAGCAGCACCCCCACGUCCACGCCCGAGCUAGGCCGGCGCCACGGCUUGCUCCGGUGCCGCUCACAGCCGUGCGUGCUCAGCAGGAGGAGGAGCCAGCGCAAGCGCAGGCACCAGGAGGAUGCCAGGUGGACACGCCCAUCCUUGGACUUCCUAAAAAUGACCCAGGAGCAAAGAGCUUUGGCACCCUCCUCAUUCCAGUGAGCUGCAGAUGUCUCCAGAGUCUCACUGGGCUAGAGUGCAGUGGCGUCAUCAUAGCUCACUAUAGUCUCCAACUCCUGGGCUCAAGUGAUCCUCCUGUCUCAGACUCCAAGUAGCUGGUGUGCACCAUCAGCUACCACAGGGGCACCCUGGGUUCCUUGCCACCGGGCCUGUCCAUGGGACAGUUUGCGUCGUCGUGGCAGCCAGCUUCCCUCAGAGCUGGCCAGCCAGCAAGUGAGAUGCACCUGAGAUGGAAGCCACUGUCUUCUUGUAACCUGCUCUCGAAAGUGACACCUGACACCUCAGCGGAAUUCUGUUCGCCAAGAGCGAGCUGCUGGGUCCAGCCCCCACUCAGUGUGGACCCCAGGAGUGGGGGCCACUGGGGCAUCUCAGAGACUGCCUAGCAUACGGUGGGCACGGAGCUGUCCCUCUGCUGUUAAGUCCCUUCAGCUCAGAAGAUGUUUCUCACAGGACUGGAAUGUGCGUUGUGCUGGGGCAGAGGCCGUGGCCCCGCCUUCGAGGAGCUGCCCUUCAGCAGGGAACACACUCGGGAACAGGAAGCCACGAUGCCCUGUGACAAGGAGCCCCACAGCACUGACCUGGGCUUGCAGAGGGUACAGGCACUUCAUAACAGCCUGGGCUGAAUGCCAGCCUUGAUGGUUCCGGCCUCGCCUAUGAGCCUUGCUACAUCUGCGUAUUAGUUCGAGCAGCUAUUCGUGGACUCCUCGUGUAUUGGUUGCCUGUUCCUGCACAACAAAUCACCCAGCCAUUUGCUUAACACAGCAGCUGUUUAUUAUCUCAUCACUUCCUAGGUCAGUAACCGCAUGUGGCUCCAGGCUCAGCGGGUGCAGUCAGGCUGUAGGUGUGGGCUGCGGUCUCAUCUGAAGAUCAUCCCCCAGGAGGGCCCUGAGGGGGCGUCACCCACUCAGAGGGGCCAGUGUCCCUGGGGCGGGUGAGGGAGGCUGGGGAGAGGAGACAGGGCAGCAAUGGGGCCGUGGCCAGUUGGCCUAUGGCCAUGGCAAGUUCGUGGGUGUUUGCUCUGUGCAAGGCGGGUAUAUAAAGGAUGAUCACAUCUGAGUCUGCCCCAUUCCUGUGGCAGCCACAGGAGAAGUGACGUGGGGCCGGGACUGGGUCCAUCUGUGAAGGUGUAUUUUCCAUAUCCGUAUUUCUUUUCAUGUCUAACCGUCCGAGGAUGUGUGUGUGUACAUGACUUGUGUUUCUUUCUGUGUCAUCCACGGGGGUCGUCUGCUGCCAUGAACUUCAACCUAGGGCCGCUGGGGUCACCAUGCGCUGACCCACUGGUAGGUCCCACCUCCCUCAGCCAGGGACCCAGCUCCUCACCUGCAGGCCUGUCUGCCCGACACACUCUCCCCUGCCACCUGGCCUGUCCCAGCACAGGCAUGCUGUCACCUGUCCCCGUGGUGGUGCCUGUUCUUGUGUUUGUCCCAGAGGACACCAGCCUGGCUUGGCAGGGUGGGCAGGAGGCCCCACUCCUGGCUGAGGGGUCACACUUGGGGCGCGUGGCAUGGCCUUGUCAGUCAGUGCAAGGCCUGUUUCCUGGUUUUGUCUUACGUCCUGUUUCAUUUUGUCUUUGUUUUAUCUUGUGCUUUCUUCUGCCUUGCAGCGUGGGGUCCCUUCCUCUGACCUGGCGCGCGUGGCUCGGCUCCUCCCUGUGCGCAGCCUGCUGCGACUCUGCCUCCCUGCUCUCCUGCUUCCCAGCUCACGGCCGCGCCCGCGCUGCAGGUGGACGGGGCUGGCUUCACGGCGCGGACUGCGGUGGUUGAAAUGGCCCCAGGCCCAGUCCAGGGUCCCCAGCUGUGGCGAGCUUCUCGGAGAAGACGUGCGUAGGUGGGCCUUGUCCGGGCGUGAGCUCCCUGCUGACGAGUCAACGACGUGUGUUCAUACAGUGUCUCAAAACAGAACCACACAUGAAGCAAGUUUGUGUUUUGAUCAGUUGGUGAGAAUGUGACCAGGGGCUUGCAGGGACCUAACCCUGUGUCACCCAUAGGAGCAACGGCUCAGUGUGCGCUUUGCAGAGUUCGCGGAGACGCCACGCACAGAAGGAGAAUACCGAGCAUCGACUGUGCUCACUGGCACCGUCCAGCUUCGCUGCCGGCCUGUGACCCACCGCCCUCUGGUGUCCCGGGUGCAUCCCCGUCCCUUUGCUGAUAGUGGGGCCUGGGUGGUCCUUCGUGGUGCCCCUGUGAGCUUGGCAGUGCGGCCUGAGAGUCGGCAGACACCCUAUUCCCUUGAGCCCUGGGCUCUGGGGUCAGCUGCAUGAGGCGUGGCUAGCAGGUCCCUGUUCCCUGUGUCUUUGCCAUCGCGGCUGCCUCCCCACGCCUGCUGCCUCGAGGGCAUGAUGUGUGUCCAAUGUCGCGUCCGUCUGUCUCCUGUUAGGGCCAGCUCUCCACCGACACGUUAACCGUGCAGCUCUGCUCUCUGCUGCGAGUGGCCUGGUCUUUGCUGCUUGUUUAUUCCUUUGUGUUCUCACUUUCUCAUAUCAGUUUCUAAACUUGCCGGUGUGCUCUCAGCCUCUAGGUCUUUGUGUGUGACUUGAGGUAGGGAUGCAGUUAUAUUUCUCUCCAUAGAAUAAUCCAGUUCUCUUUCAUUCCUGAUUUUUGAGUUAUUUUUAAAAAGAGAUAUUAAACUUUAUCGGAGGCCC